UCCUGGCUCAGAUUGAACGCUGGCGGCAUGCUUUACACAUGCAAGUCGAACGGCAGCACGGGUGCUUGCACCUGGUGGCGAGUGGCGGACGGGUGAGUAAUACAUCGGAACGUGUCCUAAAGUGGGGGAUAACGCAUCGAAAGAUGUGCUAAUACCGCAUAAUCUCUAAGGAGAAAAGUAGGGGAUCGAAAGACCUUAUGCUUUUGGAGCGGCCGAUGUCUGAUUAGCUAGUUGGUAGGGUAAUGGCUUACCAAGGCGACGAUCAGUAGUUGGUCUGAGAGGACGACCAGCCACACUGGGACUGAGACACGGCCCAGACUCCUACGGGAGGCAGCAGUGGGGAAUUUUGGACAAUGGGCGCAAGCCUGAUCCAGCAAUGCCGCGUGAGUGAAGAAGGCCUGGUGUAAG
rnacentral:rRNA from 1 species